rnacentral:rRNA from 1 species
CUACGGGUGGCACCAGUGGGGAAUAUUGCACAAUGGGCGCAAGCCUGAUGCAGCCAUGCCGCGUGUAUGAAGAAGGCCUUCGGGUUGUAAAGUACUUUCAGCGGGGAGGAAGGGAGUAAAGUUAAUACCUUUGCUCAUUGACGUUACCCGCAGAAGAAGCACCGGCUAACUCCGUGCCAGCAGCCGCGGUGAAUACGGAGGGUGCAAGCGUUAAUCGGAAUUACUGGGCGUAAAGCGCACGCAGGCGGUUUGUUAAGUCAGAUGUGAAAUCCCCGGGCUCAACCUGGGAACUGCAUCUGAUACUGGCAAGCUUGAGUCUCGUAGAGGGGGGUAGAAUUCCAGGUGUAGCGGUGAAAUGCGUAGAGAUCUGGAGGAAUACCGGUGGCGAAGGCGGCCCCCUGGACGAAGACUGACGCUCAGGUGCGAAAGCGUGGGGAGCAAACAGGAUUAGAUACCCCCGUAGUC